GGUGGGUUAGCGAAGUGGCCAAACGCGAUUGACUGUAAAUCAAUUGGUCUCCGACCUUCGAUGGUUCGAAUCCAUCACCCACCACCA
rnacentral:tRNA from 1 species